AAAGUCGUAACAAGGUUUCCGUAGGUGAACCUGCGGAAGGAUCAUUACCAUUACCUCAACUGGCGGGUUUUCAGCGGUGCUUUUGUGCCACUGAUGCCCACCUGUUUGACGUUACCCAUGCCUUUUUGCGUACAGUUUGUUUUCCCAGCAGGGCGUUACUGCCCCUACGGGAUAUCAAUCCACCCAUUGUAUUUGCAGUCAAUGUCUGAAAAAUAAUAAUAAUUACAACUUUUAACAACGGAUCUCUUGGUUCUG
rnacentral:misc_RNA from 1 species